ACGGUUUGGUGUAGUAGGCACGGAGAGUUUUGGACUCUCAGGAUUAAGAUUUGAUAUCUGAACUGU
rnacentral:tRNA from 1 species